UAGGGAAUCUUCCACAAUGGACGCAAGUCUGAUGGAGCAACGCCGCGUGAGUGAAGAAGGUUUUCGGACCGUAAAGCUCUGUUGUUGGUGAAGAAGGAUAGAGGUAGUAACUGGCCUUUAUUUGACGGUAAUCAACCAGAAAGUCACGGCUAACUACGUGCCAGCAGCCGCGGUAAUACGUAGGUGGCAAGCGUUGUCCGGAUUUAUUGGGCGUAAAGCGAGCGCAGGCGGAAGAAUAAGUCUGAUGUGAAAGCCCUCGGCUUAACCGAGGAAUUGCAUCGGAAACUGUUUUCUUGAGUGCAGAAGAGGAGAGUAGAACUCCAUGUGUAGCGGUGGAAUGCGUAGAUAUAUGGAAGAAUACCAGCGGCGAAGGCGGCUCUCUGGUCUGCAACUGACGCUGAGGCUCGAAAAGCAUGGGUAGCGAACAGGAUUAGAUACCCUGGUAGUCCAUGCCGUAAAACGAUGAGUGCUAAGUGUUGGGAGGCUUCCGCCUCUCAGUGCUGCAGCUAACGCAUUAAGCACUCCGCCUGGGGGAGUACGACCGCAAAGGUU
rnacentral:rRNA from 1 species